rnacentral:rRNA from 1 species
GCGAGUGAACAGGGAAAAGCCCAAAUUUGUAAUCUGGCACUUUUUACAAGUGUCCGAGUUGUAAUUUGUAGAGCUGUUAUCCGUACUGGACCAUGUACAAGUCUGUUGAAAAGCAGCAUCAUUGAAGGUGAAAAUCCUGUAGAUGAUAUGGACUACCAGUAUAUUUGUGAUACGGUUUCUAAGAGUCGAGUUGUUUGGGAAUGCAGCUCAAAGUGGGUGGUAAAUUCCAUCUAAGGCUAAAUAUAAGUGAGAGACCGAUAGCAAACAAGUACCGUGAGGGAAAGAUGAAAAGAACUUUGAAAAUAGAGUUAACAGUACGUGAAAUUGCUGAAAGGGAAACGUUUGAAGUUAGUUUUGUAUUCGUUGGAUCAGCUUCGCAAGGAGUGUAUUCUGAUGAUAAGCAAGUCAACAUCAGUCUAUGAGUGUUGGAUAAGGGUUUUGAGAAUGUAGCAAUUUAAUUGUGUUAUAGCUUGAGACUUGGAUACAAUGCUUUGGAUUGAGGAACGCGUAGUAAGCUUUGAGCGGAUUCGAAAGGAUCUCCUUACUAUG